rnacentral:rRNA from 1 species
GGGGGAAUAUUGGACAAUGGGGGCAACCCUGAUCCAGCCAUGCCGCGUGAGUGACGAAGGCCUUAGGGUUGUAAAGCUCUUUCACCCGUGAAGAUGAUGACGGUAGCGGGAGAAGAAGCCCCGGCUAACUCCGUGCCAGCAGCCGCGGUAAUACGGAGGGGGCGAGCGUUGUUCGGAAUUCCUGGGCGUAAAGGGCGCGUAGGCGGCCGGUCGCGUUAGGUGUGAAAGCCCCGGGCUCAACCUGGGAACU